GGUGAAUCUCGUCCACCUCCAUACCGCUUUCAUACCUUUCCUGAUUCCUGAGAAUACUAGAACAAGAUCUUUGGUUUGCUCCUCUUUUUAUCUUUUCUUUCACCCUCUUCCGGAACCCAAAAGAGAGAGAAAAGUCUCUCUCUCUCACUUUGCAAUGAAGAGAGAGAGCGCAAUAGAGGACGAUGGAAGAGCUUCAGCUUUUAGGGUUCUUGUCCGAAGAGAA